UACGUAGGGUGCAAGCGUUGUCCGGAAUUAUUGGGCGUAAAGAGCUCGUAGGCGGUCUGUCACGUCGGCUGUGAAAACCCGAGGCUCAACCUCGGGCCUGCAGUCGAUACGGGCAAACUAGAGUACUGCAGGGGAGACUGGAAUUCCUGGUGUAGCGGUGAAAUGCGCAGAUAUCAGGAGGAACACCGGUGGCGAAGGCGGGUCUCUGGGCAGUAACUGACGCUGAGGAGCGAAAGCGUGGGGGAGCGAACAGG
rnacentral:rRNA from 1 species